GACAGUAGGAAUCAGUGAGACGGUCAAAUGAAAGGAGACAAAGCGUCGAGGCGCAGCAGCAGAGAAAGGAGCCGAAACAGGAGGAAGGUUUGUUACUCGGCGGCGUUCCUCUUCCCACAGCCAGGCUGAGAAAUCUGAGGGAACCUGACAGUCUUUCCGUUUCAGUUUCCCCUCAUCGGCUUUCAGCUGACAGGAGUCACCAAAGCAGCAGGAGGGGAACCUCAUCAUGCCGCUGCAGCAUCAAAACAAAGAUACACGCCACGACUUCAUCUCCUUAUGUCAGCCUGGAUUUUAUAAAUGUCACAAGAUCCAGUUGGAAAGGUUCUGAACCGUUUGGAAUGAUGAAGGCGAAAAUAAAAAAACAACAACUUAAA